rnacentral:rRNA from 1 species
GACGAACGCUGGCGGCGUGCUUAACACAUGCAAGUCGAACGGAAAGGCCCUGCUUUUGUGGGGUGCUCGAGUGGCGAACGGGUGAGUAACACGUGAGUAACCUGCCCUUGACUUUGGGAUAACUUCAGGAAACUGGGGCUAAUACCGGAUAGGAGCUCCUGCUGCAUGGUGGGGGUUGGAAAGUUUCGGCGGUUGGGGAUGGACUCGCGGCUUAUCAGCUUGUUGGUGGGGUAGUGGCUUACCAAGGCUUUGACGGGUAGCCGGCCUGAGAGGGUGACCGGCCACAUUGGGACUGAGAUACGGCCCAGACUCCUACGGGAGGCAGCAGUGGGGAAUAUUGCACAAUGGGCGGAAGCCUGAUGCAGCAACGCCGCGUGCGGGAUGACGGCCUUCGGGUUGUAAACCGCUUUCGCCUGUGACGAAGCGUGAGUGACGGUAAUGGGUAAAGAAGCACCGGCUAACUACGUGCCAGCAGCCGCGGUGAUACGUAGGGUGCGAGCGUUGUCCGGAUUUAUUGGGCGUAAAGGGCUCGUAGGUGGUUGAUCGCGUCGGAAGUGUAAUCUUGGGGCUUAACCCUGAGCGUGCUUUCGUUACGGGUUGACUUGAGGAAGGUAGGGGAGAAUGGAAUUCCUGGUGGAGCGGUGGAAUGCGCAGAUAUCAGGAGGAACACCAGUGGCGAAGGCGGUUCUCUGGGCCUUUCCUGACGCUGAGGAGCGAAAGCGUGGGGAGCGAACAGGCUUAGAUACCCUGGUAGUCCACGCUGUAAACGGUGGGUACUAGGUGUGGGGUCCAUUCCACGGGUUCCGUGCCGUAGCUAACGCUUUAAGUACCCCGCCUGGGGAGUACGGCCGCAAGGCUAAGACUCAAAGGAAUUGACGGGGCCCCGCACAAGCGGCGGAGCAUGCGGAUUAAUUCGAUGCAACGCGUAGAACCUUACCUGGGUUUGACAUGGAUCGGGAGUGCUCAGAGAUGGGUGUGCCUCUUUUGGGGUCGGUUCACAGGUGGUGCAUGGCUGUCGUCAGCUCGUGUCGUGAGAUGUUGGGUUAAGUCCCGCAACGAGCGCAACCCUUGUUCACUGUUGCCAGCACGUUAUGGUGGGGACUCAGUGGAGACCGCCGGGGUCAACUCGGAGGAAGGUGGGGAUGACGUCAAGUCAUCAUGCCCCUUAUGUCCAGGGCUUCACGCAUGCUACAAUGGCUGGUACAGAGAGUGGCGAGCCUGUGAGGGUGAGCGAAUCUCGGAAAGCCGGUCUCAGUUCGGAUUGGGGUCUGCAACUCGACCUCAUGAAGUCGGAGUCGCUAGUAAUCGCAGAUCAGCAACGCUGCGGUGAAUACGUUCCCGGGGCU